GGCAGCAUAUAUUUUCAACACAGAGUGAGGGCAGUGUCAUUCCUCCUGUCCACUACCCCAACUUCUACUCCCAACACUACCACAACAAUGAGCGGUCUGGUGUGGUGGCUGAGGAUUCUUUUGAAGAGGACAAUGCUUCUGCUUCAUCUGAGCAGCUUGAAGCUGCCUGCAGAAAUAGGCAAAACAGCAACUGACGAAAGAAUAAAGUUGAAGGAAACUGGAGUUUCCCUGCAAAACAAGCUAUCAAGAAGACCUAUACAAUGUGUGUUCAAAGUGUCUGGCUAAGAGUUGGAGAUCUGGCAGAGAAGCUGUGGCCAGAGGAAGGAGGCUUGGCUGCUGCACCAGACCCAUAGACCACAUCUUUGGAGUGGCUUUGGCCUUGAGGUGCAGCCAGGUAGCUGUAGCUCAC